rnacentral:rRNA from 1 species
UACGGAGGGUGCAAGCGUUAUCCGGAUUACUGGGUUUAAAGGGUGCGUAGGUGGGUAGGAAAGUCAGUGGUGAAAUCUUCGGGCUUAACCCGGAAACUGCCAUUGAUACUAUUUAUCUUGAAUACUUUGGAGGUAAGCGGAAUAUGUCAUGUAGCGGUGAAAUGCUUAGAUAUGACAUAGAACACCAAUUGCGAAGGCAGCUUACUACACAGUUAUUGACACUGAGGCACGAAAGCGUGGGGAUAAACAGG